CCGCCGCGGCCUCUGGCGCUGAGCGAGGCUGCCCCGGGGCAGUAUGGAGGCGAAGGUAGGGUCCACGCAGACUACCGGCGGCGCGUGCUCUGUGUUGGCGGAGGAGACCGAAAAGUGGAUGGAACAGGCGAUGCAAAUGGCCAAAGAAGCCCUAGAAAACAUUGAGGUUCCUGUUGGCUGCCUUUUGGUCUACAACAAUGAAGUUGUAGGGAAGGGAAGAAAUGAAGUUAAUCAAACCAAAAAUGCUACUCGACAUGCAGAAAUGGUGGCCAUUGACCAGGCCCUAGAUUGGUGUCGUCGACAUGGCAAGAGUCCUUCGGAGGUGUUUGAACACACGGUGCUCUACGUCACCGUGGAGCCGUGUAUCAUGUGCGCAGCCGCUCUCCGCCUGAUGAAAAUCCCGCUGGUUGUCUAUGGCUGUCAGAAUGAACGAUUUGGUGGUUGUGGCUCUGUUCUAGAUAUUGCCUCUGCUGAUCUACCGAAUACUGGGAGACCAUUUCAGUGCAUCCCUGGAUAUCGGGCUGAGGAAGCAGUGGAGAUGUUAAAGACCUUCUACAAACAAGAAAAUCCAAAUGCACCAAAAUCAAAGGUUCGGAAAAAGGAAUGUCAGAAAUCCUGAACUUGUACUAAUGAAAGACUCGUGCUCCUGGACGACAUCCUUGGACAGAAAGCUGUUGACAUUGUUGAAUCGCUGGUCCAAUUUAGGAAACGGAAUCCUCUAAAGUCACAAGUAGAGAUGCAAAAGCCUUCAGUUGCUUCUGUGUUACUGAAAUCUUGAGAAGUGGAGCUAGAAGCACAUUCCUCCUCCUCUCCCCUCCUCAAGAAUGUGGAUGGUGGAUUCGUCUUUACACUUGCACGUAGAGAAAAGGGUAAAGCGUGAACAUCCUUUUGAGCACUGGUGGGGUUAAGCCGGAGGUUCCAAGCCAAAGGGAGAAACCGCAGGUCAUUUUUUUCUCACCACUCGAUGAUUAUAGAGCAAGUAGUAGAGUCAUCCGGAUGGAUUCUGCUCCAGGACAAGCCUGGAGUUUCUGUGAAGGGUCAGUGGGUGCAUUGGCAGCACCUGGGCUGGGUGGGCGUGUCUUAGCACAUUCCCUUUCCCCGGAGGGACAGCCCUGGGUGUCUUGCCAGAAGUGUGGCCAGAGUUCAGGGCCUGGGGUUCCCAAAGCAAAGGUGACCCACCAUGGGAAAACCAAACCAAACCCCAAAUCUGAUCGUAUAAUCGUAUUUCAAACCUAGCAGUGAUGUAUAAAUCCAACGUGCUGCAGUAUAAGUGAGUUGAAUCAGCCUUAGGUCUAAGGCCCCACAGGUGUCAACUCCUUUAGGUGUUGGUUUGGUGGCAAAAAGUAGGAAAGUGUUAUUUGCUAAAGAAGAGGGGUAGUAACAGGGCUCCAGAUGAACUGUCCCAGAAAGUCCUUAAAAAUAUUCCAUUCCUUGAGGUUUCUUCAUUCUGAGAGUCAACUGGAGAAAUAAUUUCCUUUUAAAUGGUGGUUUUUCUUCUUUCCUGCCUUUUUUUUUUUUAAACAACAUUUGAUUUUCUGUUAAUAAUAUUAAUUCUAUAGUUAUAUAAAACUUUUUUUUUAAACAUAGACCUUUCUCACUUCAGGUCAAAAUAUAACUUAUUUGAUGCUAGAUGUAACACACAAACCUCUCAGAAAAAUAACACUGUCACGGACAUCUUUAUCUGGUUUCUGACCUUAAAAGGGAAUGCCUUUGGUGUUUGAGAUGACUGUUUCUUCUCAUGAUGUGAGAUAUUUUUAUAUUACUAAUGGUAUUAUCAAAAAUAAAUGUUAAAAUUUCUCAAAUGCCUUAGAGCAACUGUGGAGAGAAUCAUAUGAUUUUUUCUUUGUGCACUAUUGAGACAAUGUUUUUAACAAAAAUCCUAAUAUUAACCCAGCCUUGAAUUUUUAGAAUAAACCUUACUUUUGAAAAAUGAUUUCUAUAGUGUUGGCUUUAUGUUGCUGACAUUUUAGCUAAAGCAAGUAAAAAAGUAUUUUUUUGCAUGUUACCUUUGUUUUGAGAGUUUUAUUAACUUUGAAAAAUAAUUUGGGAAGUGUUUCAUCAUUCUGUAAUCUUGGAACAGUUUAAUAAACAUGAGAAUUGUUACUUGAAAGUUUUCAAGAACUUGCUCAUAAAAUGCUCUGGACCCAACUCCUUUUUUGGAGAUAGUUAAUUGAACAUUAAAAAAAAUGGCUUUCCACAGGGAGAUCAGCUCGG